UUUUCCAGAAUCUGGAAUCCCAUCCCUCGCAUUUUAAGGGUGACAGACUGUGAUGCAUAAGAGAAGAACUGCCAGGAUUGCGAUGGGAAGAGAAGACCUGGAGACUAAGUCAUGGGAGGAAGGGAGCAUAUUUAGUCUACAGAUUAAAAGAAUUUUGUAAAGGAAGACACAAACACAACCUUGCCAAAGCAAUGGACCAAGCAACAUCCACGUUUUGCAAAUACUCCUUAAACAGGCAGAAACAGCAUUAUAGGCACAGACCUGAAAUAAUCACAGGAUGCAGCCAGGAGGAUUCGAUGAGCAUCAAUGGUCUUCCCCUCUACAUGCAGAACAACAUCAAAGAGGAUGCCGCGGUCCCGGAGA